rnacentral:rRNA from 1 species
GUAGGGUWUCCAAGCGUUGUUCGGAUUUACUGGGCGUAAAGGGCGCGUAGGCGGCGCGGUAAGUCACUUGUGAAAUCUCUGAGCUUAACUCAGAACGGCCAAGUGAUACUGCAGUGCUAGAGUGUGGAAGGGGCAAUCGGAAUUCUUGGUGUAGCGGUGAAAUGCGUAGAUAUCAAGAGGAACACCUGAGGUGAAGACGGGUUGCUGGGCCAACACUGACGCUGAGGCGCGAAAGCCAGGGGAGCAAACGGGAUUAGAUACCCCGGUAGUCCUGGCCCUAAACGAUGAAUACUUGGUGUCUGGAGUUUUAAUGCUCCGGGUGCCGUCGCUAACGUUUUUAGUAUUCCGCCUGGGGAGUACGCUCGCAAGAGUG